rnacentral:rRNA from 1 species
ACGAACGCUGGCGGCAUGCCUAAUACAUGCAAGUCGAACGAUCCCUUCGGGGAUAGUGGCGCACGGGUGCGUAACGCGUGGGAAUCUGCCCUUGGGUUCGGAAUAACUUCGGGAAACUGAAGCUAAUACCGGAUGAUGACGAAAGUCCAAAGAUUUAUCGCCCAGGGAUGAGCCCGCGUAGGAUUAGCUAGUUGGUGGGGUAAAGGCUCACCAAGGCAACGAUCCUUAGCUGGUCUGAGAGGAUGAUCAGCCACACUGGGACUGAGACACGGCCCAGACUCCUACGGGAGGCAGCAGUAGGGAAUAUUGGACAAUGGGCGAAAGCCUGAUCCAGCAAUGCCGCGUGAGUGAUGAAGGCCUUAGGGUUGUAAAGCUCUUUUACCCGAGAUGAUAAUGACAGUAUCGGGAGAAUAAGCUCCGGCUAACUCCGU